rnacentral:rRNA from 1 species
GGGAUGAGCUUGCGUCCGAUUAGCUAGUUGGCGGGCAACGGCCCACCAAGGCGACGAUCGGUAGCCGGCCUGAGAGGGCGAUCGGCCACAUUGGGACUGAGAUACGGCCCAGACUCUACGGGAGGCAGCAGUAGGGAAUAUUGCACAAUGGGGGGAACCCUGAUGCAGCAACGCCACGUGUGGGAAGAAGCAUUUCGGUGUGUAAACCACUGUCGUGAGGGAAUAAUGCUUGGUCUCGGCCAAGUUGAAUGUACCUCGAAAGGAAGCACCGGCAAACUUCGUGCCAGCAGCCGCGGUAAUACGAGGGGUGCAAGCGUUGUUCGGAAUCACUGGGCGUAAAGGGAGCGUAGGCGGAGGAGCAAGCAGUCUGUACAAUCCCGGGGCCUAACCCCGGCUCUGCAGACUGGACUGUUUCUCUUGGAUAGUUCAGGGGCAGGCGGAAUUCCUGGUGUAGCGGUGGAAUGCGUAGAGAUCAGGAAGAACACCGAUGGCGAAGGCAGCCUGCUGGGGACUCAUCGACGCUGAGGCUCGAAAGUGCGGGUAGCAAACAGGAUUAGAUACCCUGGUAGUCC